GACGAACGCUGGCGGCGUGCUUAACACAUGCAAGUCGAACGGAAAGGCCCUGCUUGCAGGGUGCUCGAGUGGCGAACGGGUGAGUAACACGUGGGUGAUCUGCCCCUUACUUUGGGAUAAGCCUGGGAAACUGGGUCUAAUACUGGAUAGGACCAUGCUGUAGGUGGUGUGGUGGAAAGAUUAGUUUCGGUAAGGGAUGAGCUCGCGGCCUAUCAGCUUGUUGGUGGGGUAAUGGCCUACCAAGGCGUUGACGGGUAGCCGGCCUGAGAGGGUGGACGGCCACAUUGGGACUGAGAUACGGCCCAGACUCCUACGGGAGGCAGCAGUGGGGAAUAUUGCACAAUGGGCGCAAGCCUGAUGCAGCGACGCCGCGUGGGGGAUGACGGCCUUCGGGUUGUAAACUCCUUUCAGCCAUGACGAAGCCCUUGUGGUGACGGUAGUGGUAGAAGAAGCACCGGCUAACUACGUG
rnacentral:rRNA from 1 species